GUGCUCACUUCAGCAGCACAUGUACUGAAAUUGGAAUGAUACAGAGAAGUUAGCAUGGCCCCUGUGCAGGGAUGACACAAAAAAUGAAUAAAUAAAUAAAAUAAAA
ensembl:snRNA U6 U6 spliceosomal RNA